rnacentral:rRNA from 1 species
UUAAUUGAAGAGUUUGAUCAUGGCUCAGAUUGAACGCUGGCGGCAGGCCUAACACAUGCAAGUCGAGCGGUAACAGAGAGUAGCUUGCUACUCUGCUGACGAGCGGCGGACGGGUGAGUAAUGCCUGGGAAUUUGCCCAGUUGUGGGGGAUAACAGUUGGAAACGACUGCUAAUACCGCAUAAACCCUACGGGGAAAAGGGGAGGCUCUUCGGACUUCUCGCAAUUGGAUAAGCCCAGGUGGGAUUAGCUAGUAGGUGAGGUAAUGGCUCACCUAGGCGACGAUCCCUAGCUGUUCUGAGAGGAUGAUCAGCCACACUGGAACUGAGACACGGUCCAGACUCCUACGGGAGGCAGCAGUGGGGAAUAUUGCACAAUGGGGGAAACC